rnacentral:rRNA from 1 species
CCCGGGCCUUGUACACACCGCCCGUCACACCAUGGGAGUUGGUUUUACCCGAAGGCGCUGUGUUAACCGCAAGGAGGCAGGCGACCACGGUAGGGUCAGCGACUGGGGUG